GAUGAACGCUGACAGAAUGCUUAACACAUGCAAGUCAACUUGAACUUCGGUUUGGGUGGCGGACGGGUGAGUAACGCGUAAAGAACUUGCCUCACAGUUAGGGACAACAUUUGGAAACGAAUGCUAAUACCUGAUAUUAUGAUUUUAGGGCAUCCUAGAAUUAUGAAAGCUAUAUGCGCUGUGAGAGAGCUUUGCGUCCCAUUAGCUAGUUGGAGAGGUAACGGCUCACCAAGGCGAUGAUGGGUAGCCGGCCUGAGAGGGUGAACGGCCACAAGGGGACUGAGACACGGCCCGUACUGCUACGGGGGGCAGCAGUGGGGAAUAUUGGACAAUGGACCAAGAGUCUGAUCCAGCAAUUCUGUGUGCACGAUGAAGUUUUUCGGGAUGUAAAGUGCUUUCAGUUGGGAAGAAAAAAAUGACGGUACCAACAGAAGAAGUGACGGCUAAAUACGUG
rnacentral:rRNA from 1 species